GAUGAACGCUAGCGGGAGGCUUAACACAUGCAAGUCGAGGGGUAUAGUAGCAAUACUAGAGACCGGCGCACGGGUGAGUAACGCGUAUGCAACCUGCCCUUUACAGGGGGAUAGCCCGGAGAAAUCCGGAUUAAUACCCCAUAGUACUAUUUUGUCGCAUGGCAAGAUGGUUAAAGUACCAACGGUAAAGGAUGGGCAUGCGUGACAUUAGUUUGUUGGCGGGGUAACGGCCCACCAAGACUACGAUGUCUAGGGGUUCUGAGAGGAUGAUCCCACGCACUGGUACUGGAACACGGACCAGACUCCUACGGGAGGCAGCAGUGAGGAAUAUUGGUCAAUGGGCGCAAGCCUGAACCAGCCAUCCCGCGUGAAGGAUGAAUGCCCUAUGGGUCGUAAACUUCUUUUAUGUACCAAGAAUAUGCCUUACGUGUAGGGUAUUGACGGUAGUGCAUGAAUAAGAAUCGGCUAACUCCGUGCCAGCAGCCGCCGUAACAC
rnacentral:rRNA from 1 species